AUACGGAGGAUCCAAGCGUUAUCCGGAUUUAUUGGGUUUAAAGGGUGCGUAGGCGGACUGGUAAGUCAGCUGUGAAAGUUUGCGGCUUAACCGUAAAAUUGCAGUUGAUACUGUCAGUCUUGAGUGUGCAUGAGGUGGGCGGAAUUUGUGGUGUAGCGGUGAAAUGCUUAGAUAUCACGAGGAACUCCAAUUGCGAAGGCAGCUCACUGGGGCAUAACUGACGCUGAUGCACGAAGGUGUGGGUAUCAAACAGGAUUAGAUACCCUGGUAGUCCACACAGUAAACUAUGAAUACUCGCUGUUUGCGAUAUACAGUAAGCGGCCAAGCGAAAGCAUUAAGUAUUCCACCUGGGGAGUACGCCGGCAACGGUGAAACUUAAAGGAAUUGACGGGG
rnacentral:rRNA from 1 species